rnacentral:rRNA from 1 species
AUGGAUACCACAGUAGCAGAUCCAAUACCUCAUGGCAAUGAAACUGUUCAGAAUGAGUCAAAGUUGCAAGAAGAGGUUUAUGAGGAACCUACUCUGAUUGACGCUAAGUUGAGACAACAAGAUAUGGAGAAAUUCACUUGUGUUAGUCAGCUAUCUGACUGGUGGAAUUUAGUCAUGUCACCAAUUGCCCACACUUGUGUUACAAUUGUAUCUAGACUAUUUGUGAAGAAGAAAUCAUUAGCUCCACCAGUGGUUACCUCUAUCACAGUUAAAGAGAGUAUCUCAGAGAAGAAUAGUGAAGAUGAGAUUCCAACUCGUGCACAUACAAUUAAGCAAGUCAGAGACAUUCCAAGGAGAGAGAUACAAGAGGUUGAGUCAAAUUUAGAAGAGCUGAUACUUCAAUAUCCUGAGAAGAUCCCAUCUGUUGCUGAGCUGCAUGACUGGUGA